AUUGAACGCUGGCGGCAGGCUUAACACAUGCAAGUCGAACGAGUGGCGGACGGGUGAGUAAUGCUUGGGAAUCUAGCUUAUGGAGGGGGAUAACUACGGGAAACUUUAGCUAAUACCGCGUACCAUAGGAUGAGCCCAAGUUGGAUUAGGUAGUUUGUGAGGUAAAGGCUCAGAAAGCUGACGAUCUCUAGCUGGUCUGAGAGGAUGACCAGAGACGCUAAGACAUAGACACGGCCCAGACUCCUACGGGAGGCAGCAGUUGGAAAUAUAGCGCAAUGGGGGCAACCUGACGAAGCCAAGCCGCGUGAAUGAAGAAGGACUUCGAAUUGUGAAGUUCUUUCGGUAGCGAAGCGUUGACUACAGAAAAAGCACCGGCUAACUCCGUGCCAGCAACCGCGGUAAUAC
rnacentral:rRNA from 1 species